rnacentral:rRNA from 1 species
UUAGACUUGAGACCGGGAGAGGUUAGAGGUACUCCCAGGGUAGAGGUGAAAUUCUGUAAUCCUGGGAGGACCGCCUGUUGCGAAGGCGUCUAACUGGAACGGUUCUGACGGUGAGGGACGAAAGUUAGGGGCGCGAACCGGAUUAGAUACCCGGGUAGUCCUAACUGUAAACGAUGCGGACUUGGUGUUGGGGUGGCUUUGAGCUGCUCCAGUGCCGAAGGGAAGCUGUUAAGUCCGCCGCCUGGGAAG